rnacentral:rRNA from 1 species
UUAUAUGGCCGUACUACCCUGAAUACGCCCGAUCUCUUCUAAUCUCAGAAGCUAAGUAGGCUUGGGCCUGGUUAUUACUUGGGUGGGAGGCAAUACUUACAAAAGGGCAAGCAUGUCUUUGCUAUAUGAA